GGGCCCCAUAUGUUGCUGUGCUAAACCUACCUGAACCUGACUUGCCACACGUGCGUCGUGGAGUUGUGCCAUCUGUUCAAACCGUGUCACCUUCAGUAGAUAUAAGUCUGCAGUGCAUUCGCGCU